rnacentral:rRNA from 1 species
CCUACGGGAGACAGCAGUGAGGAAUAUUGGUCAAUGGGCGGACGCCUGAACCAGCCAAGUAGCGUGCAGGAUGACGGCCCUACGGGUUGUACACUGCUUUUAUACGGGAAUAACGCGCCUUACGUGUAGGGCUUUGCAUGUACCGUAUGAAUAAGGACCGGCUAAUUCCGUGCCAGCAGCCGCGGUAAUACGGAAGGUCCGGGCGUUAUCCGGAUUUAUUGGGUUUAAAGGGAGCGUAGGCCGCAUGUCAAGCUUGCUGUGAAAUGUCCGGGCUCAACCCGGGCCUUGCAGCGCGAACUGGCGUGCUGGAGGCCGCGGAAAGCAGGAGGAAGUCGUCGGGGAGCGGUGAAAUGCUUAGAUAUGACGAAGAACCCCGAUUGCGAAGGCAGCUUGCUGCAGCGGAACUGACGCUGAUGCUCGAAAGCGCGGGUAUCGAACAGGAUUAGAUACCCUGGUAGUC